CAGCAUGGUUUUGCUCUUACGUGGCUCAGUUUCUGCUGGGUCAUUCUGACACAUGUGCCACCUGGUAAUGACCUUUGAUCUGAGGGGAUUGGGAGAUACUUGAUAAAUAGUAUCCUCUUCUGUCCUGCCAGGGGACAAUUCUAGGGUGAAUUAUACAUGGCUUCUCAGAGACUUUCCAGCAGGAUUAUACUCCAGUUACCUAAAGCAAUGAACAGUUUGAAAAUGCACCCUUCCCCUAUUUCAUCCUGUCCAGUCCUUCCCACCAUUAGAACCACUUCCCAACAUCAACGAUCUGCAUGGGAGCACAUUUCUCAGGCUCUGUUUGAAGACACCCACAUUCCAUACAGCCUUUCCUGGUGCCUCUGAGUCCUGGGCUUCUCAGUUUCUCUAGAUAAUUGUCUUACUUCUCAUGGUGCCCUGCUCUGCCAGGGUUAGGAGCGCAUCCAAAUUCCCUGCCAAGAUGGACUCAAUAGCAGAAUGGAAGUGACAAAGUGAAGAUUUAGUGAACUUGAAGACAGAACAAAAGAAAUGACUAACCUAAUGACAGAGAAAGAAAAAAAAAGCAGAGCUUCAGAUUUCAGGUAUUAUUGGGACUAUAACAAACGAUCAAUCAUUCAUAUCAUUUGCCAUUUUUUGGCACCUUUUGAAAUAUCCUUAUGGUAUUUCUCCUUUUUGUGUUGUUACGUUGUUGCUAAUACGGUGAAUUGCAUUGAUUGAUUUUUUAAAAAA
rnacentral:lncRNA from 10 species